AUUGAACGCUGGCGGCAUGCUUUACACAUGCAAGUCGAACGGUAACAGGUCGCCAGGUGCUGACGAGUGGCGAACGGGUGAGUAAUGCAUCGGAACGUGCCCAGUCGUGGGGGAUAACUACUCGAAAGAGUAGCUAAUACCGCAUACGAUCUAUGGAUGAAAGCGGGGGACCGUAAGGCCUCGCGCGAUUGGAGCGGCCGAUGUCAGAUUAGGUAGUUGGUGGGGUAAAGGCUCACCAAGCCAACGAUCUGUAGCUGGUCUGAGGGGACAACCAGCCACACUGGGACUGAGACACGGCCCAGACUCCUACGGGAGGCAGCAGUGGGGAAUUUUGGACAAUGGGCGCAAGCCUGAUCCAGCAAUGCCGCGUGCAGGAAGAAGGCCUUCGGGUUGUAAACUGCUUUUGUACGGAACGAAACGGCUCUGGUUAAUACCCGGGGCUAAUGACGGUACCGUAAGAAUAAGCACCGGCUAACUACGUG
rnacentral:rRNA from 1 species